GAUGAACGCUGGCGGCGUGGAUAAGGCAUGCAAGUCAAACGGGCUCUGUAGCAAUACAUUAGUGGCGCACGGGUGCGUAACACGUGGGAACAUACCCUUGAGUAAGGAAUAAUGUCUGGAAACGGACACUAAUACCUUAUAAUGACUUCGGUCCAAAGAUUUAUCACUCAAGGAUUGGCCCGCGUCUGAUUAGGUAGUUGGUGAGGUAACGGCUCACCAAGCCUACGAUCAGUAGCUGGUCUGAGAGGAUGAUCAGCCACACUGGAACUGAGACACGGUCCAGACUCCUACGGGAGGCAGCAGUGAGGAAUAUUGCGCAAUGGGGGAAACCCUGACGCAGCCAUGCCGCGUGAGUGAAGAAGGCCUUCGGGUUGUAAAGCUCUUUCAGUCGUGAAGAUAAUGACGGUAGCGACAGAAGAAGCCCCGGCUAAAUUCGUGCCAGCCGCCGCCGUAA
rnacentral:rRNA from 1 species